UCUAAAGGUCGUAAUCCUUGACAUCUACUUCGCAACAGAAUAUUAUUUAUGUAUCAUGAUGCUAAAACACCAAUUAAAGGUACAUGAAGUACACUUAAUAGAAUAGAAUACUGUUAGACAAUGUAACCUUUCAGCUACAUUGAUAGAUCUCGGCUUGUAUAUACUUCUAAGAGUUUUUUUCCCGCCAGACUCUUCCAUUUUGACGUGAAAGAUAAUUUGCAGGGCAAUGAUAUUAAGAGUGCCUCUGAUAGUCGGGUGCAUUGUUCGUUAAACAUCAACACUGAAACUGGGCGGUUGUCUGCAAGAAGACCAAGUCUGCAGGUUAGUGAGUACUGUGUCGUCAGUUUUAAGAAGCUAGUGUAUUCUGAUUUUAAAACUCUAAUUUGGUCGUUAGAUUGUUGUGACUGUACACCAGCUAUCCACCGAAGGUUAUGGUGAUUUUCUAAAUGCAUUCUGGAGGUACUCUGAUGUGUUGUUCCUGCUACAGAAUCAACCAGCUCUUGAGAAAGAUCGUUAUAGGAUCCGUCAAGCCUUUGUUGCUGCUCCUGGAAAGAGUCUUGUUGUGGCUGAUUAUGGGCAGGUGUGAUUUUACACCAUUAGUGCCUAGCUAAUUGAUUUCUCAUCUUUAGCUCUUACAAUCUAGACAAUUGAAUGGAAUAUUAGUUGAUCCCAUUGCUGUCUUUGACGACACCAACUAAAACUGAAUUAUGCUUUUCCCUGCCUUAGCUGGAGUUACGGUUACUUGCUCAUUUAGCUGAUUGCAAGAGCAUGAAAGCAGCAUUCAAAGCUGGUGGUGAUUUACAUGUAUCCUCAUGUUCGUGAAGCAGUUGAAAAGGAGAGGGUGCUGCUGGAAUGGGAAGGUCAAGGGGAACCACCUGCUCCACUAUUGAAAGUAAGGCAUUUUCAGCCUGAGUUGUAAAGCACAAAAUUUUGUCAACAUCUCGAUCCUCCAGAAUACGAAACCUAAAAAGAAUGCGUUCCUUUCAUAUUUAUCAUAGUCACCAACAAGCUUCAAAUCUUAAAUUGUCUUUGUGUACCUAAAACUUACAAAGUGACCAUGGCGCAAAAAUGGCACUGAGCAAAGGGAGCCACGGUUUAUAGCCAUAGCUGUUGAUCGCAGAACUAAACAAUCAAAACAUCGAACUUAGUGUAAAAAUUGCAAGCACUUAGAUACCCUCGUCAAAUAUUGAACACAGGUGCUCAUUCUGAAUCACUCGCAUGAAUGUUUGGCGUGUGUACUGUAGGACGUAUUCGGAUCAGAAAGAAGAAAAGCCAAGAUGCUGAAUUUCUCGAUUGCUUACGGUAAAACAGCCAUGGGACUUGCCAAGGAUUGGAAGGUAAAUCUGGCUGAUGCAAAGGCCACAGUGGACCUUUGGUACAGUGAUAGACCCGAAGUGCUUGCUUGGCAAAUGGAGCGGAAACGGGAGGCUCACGAAACCCUCUGCGUACAUACAUUGUUAGGGAGGGCACGCCAUCUUCCUAAUGUAAACUCCUCCAACUCAUUAGUUCGGUCUCAUAUGGAGCGCGCUGCUAUCAAUACACCCGUUCAGGUAGGUUAACG
rnacentral:lncRNA from 1 species